AAUCUGCCGUCUUGGUUCGGAAUAACUCAGGGAAACUUGAGCUAAUACCGGAUGAUGACGAAAGUCCAAAGAUUUAUCGCCAAGAGAUGAGCCCGCGUAAGAUUAGGUAGUUGGUGGGGUAAAGGCUCACCAAGCCGACGAUCUGUAGCUGGUCUGAGAGGACGACCAGCCACACUGGGACUGAGACACGGCCCAGACUCCUACGGGAGGCAGCAGUGGGGAAUUUUGGACAAUGGGCGAAAGCCUGAUCCAGCCAUUCCGCGUGCAGGAUGAAGGCCCUCGGGUUGUAAAGCUCUUUUGUCAGGGAAGAAACACCGGCUCUAACACAGUCCGGGAAUGACGGUACCUGAAGAAUAAGCACCGGCUAACUACGUG
rnacentral:rRNA from 1 species